AACCGCGGGGUCAGGAAGCUCAACUGUUGUUGUUCAGCUUUUAUUGCUUCAUGGAAACACACAGAAGGAGCUGACAGGCAAAAGAGCUCUUUUCUCAGGGACUUGCUGAUAUCUGGCAGUAUAACAUCUGACAAAGUCGCUUAGGGCACAUCCAAGUGGGAGUGUCUGCAUCUCCAGCUCCAUCGGAGAAUCCAGCGGGACCUACACCAGAUCACAAGCCUGGAUCUGGCCUCUUGCUGCAGCAUCUUGGUGUAAAGGCAUCUUGAAUUGCUCUGGCAAUGGUUAUCUGCUCAGCUGUUAAUAAGCAUAAAAACCCCUGCUCAGCUGGCUUGGUGUGUUUCUGGUGCCAGUUUGUUUGCGUACCCACCUCAGAGAGCUGGAUUCAAUCAAAACGAUGUCCAAUUUCUGCACUGACAUGGCCAUGACAAAUUGAUUUACGGGAGGAGAUGGCUUCGUGCAAGAAGCACAUGGGGAUGAUGCUGAAUCUGGUCCUUGUUUUGGACAGGAAUGAGAUAUGGGAGAGAGUCAUCCUGCAUAUUUCAGCUUCUGCUGUGCUGCUCACUGCUUUUCAGGGUGUAAUUCAGAGCCUGGGCACUGGAGGACCAACGCGUCUGCAGCAGCGCAACCUGGAUUUAAGUUCUGGCAGUCCUCAGAGGUGAAACCCACAAUUGGUUUCUAGCAGAUCCACGUCCAUCCAUGAAGCUCCCAGGCAGCUGCUUCCGAUGCCUCGGCACAGGAAAACCAGCCCAGGCAGCUGUGGCCUCCCCUUCCCAGCACAGCCUCCAUCUGUUGGGGGAAAAGGCCAGAUCUGCUGGCUUCCUGAAUGGGACAUUGGCACCGGGCAAUGGCCAAACCCAACAACCACUGCUCAGCAGGUUAAUAAUGCUUCAAAAAACUUCCCAGCAAUACCAUUUUUUGACAUAACUUUGAACUGUCAUCAGUGAGCAGAAAGGAUGUGAGUAACCUUGUUUUUCUCCUCGCAAAAUAAAACUCU
rnacentral:lncRNA from 7 species